rnacentral:rRNA from 1 species
UACAGAGGUCCCAAGCGUUGUUCGGAUUCAUUGGGCGUAAAGGGUGUGUAGGUGGCGCCGUAAGUCGGGUGUGAAAUCUCCGGGCUUAACUCGGAAAGGUCAACUGAUACUGUGCGACUAGAGUGCAGAAGGGGCAACUGGAAUUCUCGGUGUAGCGGUGAAAUGCGUAGAUAUCGAGAGGAACACCUGCGGCGAAGGCGGGUUGCUGGGCUGACACUGACGCUGAUGCGCGAAAGCCAGGGGAGCGAACGGG